AUUGAAACACUGGUUCCGUAUGAACACCGAAGUUAAGCAACGUCGAGCCUGGUCAAUACCUAGAUGGUUGACCGCUGGGGAUUAUCAGAUGCUGUAAG